AUUGAACGCUGGCGGAAUGCUUUACACAUGCAAGUCGAACGGCAGCACGGACUUCGGUCUGGUGGCGAGUGGCGAACGGGUGAGUAACAUAUCGGAACGUAUCCAAUAAUGGGGGAUAACUAAUCGAAAGGUUGGCUAAUACCGCAUACGCCCUACGGGGGAAAGCUAGGGACCUGCGGGCCUGGCGUUAAUGGAGCGGC
rnacentral:rRNA from 1 species